rnacentral:rRNA from 1 species
GACAAACGCUGGCGGCGUGCCUAAAACAUGCAAGUCGAACGGCCCUUUCGGGGGUAGUGGCGGACGGCUGAGUAACGCGUGGGCAACCUACCCGAGAGUGGGGAAUACCGCGUCGAAAGACGCGCUAAUACCGCAUACGUUCCUGGUUCUCUGGAGCCAGGAAGAAAGUGGCAACACGCUCACGGAUGGGCCUGCGUCCGAUUAGCUGGUUGGUGGGGUAACGGCCUACCAAGGCGAUGAUCGGUAGCUGGUCUGAGAGGAUGAUCAGCCAGACUGGGACUGUGACACGGCCCAGACUCCUACGGGAGGCAGCAGUUAGGAAUCUUGGGCAAUGGGCGAAAGCCUGACCCAGCAACGCCGCGUGGGUGACGAAGGCCUUCGGGUCGUAAAGCUCUUUUCCCGGGGAAGAUAAUGACGGUACCUGGGGAAUAAGCCCCGGCUAACUACGUGCCAGCAGCCGCCGCAGUAA